CAAGCCCUAAACGGAGCAUGACGAAGAAGGAGAGGAAGAGAGAGUGAGAAAUAAUGGCAAAACAGUUUAGGAUGACCAAAGAGUUCUUCAAGAGGAGGGACGGAAGUCAAUAAUCAUGGUGUAGAUGGUUUCUACCCUGUCGAAUCUAAGAUGAAAGUGUAGGGAUUAAAGCGUGGAACUGAAAGCCUAUCUAGGAAUUUGCAGGUGAUAUAUGCUUUGUCGCUGGACAAGUCAAAUCUGGCUGUUUCAAAAUAUCUAGCUGAGUGCAUGGAUGCUGAAGGAUUAGUAGAACCAAUCCAUCAAACUCCAGAGGGUUGUUAACGUCUCUCUUGAGUACCCUUUCAAGGAUCUUGGGAUUGCUGAAAACAUUAUAUUACAAGGCUUGAGCAAUAAUUCUUACCUUUGUUUUUUGUAUUUGGUUUUUCCCUUUUCUAGCUAUUUUGUUUUUUUAAUCACAAUUUUUCUUUUCUUAUUAGAAGUUAGAACAGCUUAUAUAUCAUAUUAAAUGAAGUAAAGUGCAAGAAACAUUUAUCAUUUUACAUUUCUAGUUGAAAUUCAAGAUAUAUUUAUUCUAAUUCUGAGAUACUUUUCUUCCAUUUGAUGUUCUUCCCUACUAGAAGGAUCACAAUGAUAACUAGUGUACCUGCUGGAAGUGGCAAACUGAACUAUGGAGUGAGUGACUUCAAGGAAAAAUGUUGUAGAAGAUCUUCAUGGAUCACCAGCAUGACUUUUAGCAUAUGCAUACAGAAAGAAAUUUCAUGAUAUGCUAAGGAUCUUAGUACUAAAAAUAGUUUACAUGUACUAAAUCUUACUAGCUGGGGGUAUGUUAUAGCUUAAAUCGUAAGUUGGAUGUGUAUUUAGUUUAUCCACUUAAUCAUGCUAUAUAACAACUAUGCAAUGUUCUAUACAUGUUAUUAGUAGUCCUAUUGGUGACAGUGUGCUUUUAUAUUUUGCUUAUGCUAUCUUAGUAGUUCGUUGGAAAAAAUAUUAACAUAGAUGCAUUGAAGAAAUGUACUAGUACAAGACAAUGGUCUCAUAUAUAUUAUGAAAUAAUUGCAAUAACAAUUAUCGAUAGAAUUGCCUAAAGGUGAUAUAUAAACCUAUUCUUUCAUCUUGUAUUUUAAUUGGUAAAAAAGUAAAUUUAUGCCCCUGUUUUUUAUUUCUUUUAUGCACAGACUAUAUAUAUAUAUAUAUAUAUAUAUUACAUGCAUCGGUAACAAUGGAUUAUAAUGUUUUUUCAAAGGAUAACUCAUGGGCUUGGUUUGUCUUAGGAUUGCAUUUUUCAUCUUGCCAUGGCAUAAUAAGUUACGGUGGAGAUUUGUGGCUCAAAAAAGGAGGUAUAAUAUUAAACCAAAAAUAUAUUUCAAUGAACUUUACACAACUUUAUAAUCAAUUAAAGACGUAAAUAUUUGAAAUAUGUUUCUAUUUCAUUCACAUUUACAUACUUUUUAGUCAUGAUUCUUUCAAGAAAAAAGGUAUAUAUUAAAUCAUAAUUUUAGUUCUUGGGUUGCUGCAAAUACAUAUCAAUGGCAAAAUAUGAUGAUUACAUAUUAGAAAAUUUUAAGGUCUAUUUCAUUUUUCUACAUUAAGCCCACUUAAACUAUCCCACUUGCAAAUUUUGAUGAUCCAAUUGGAAAUUUCUCCAAUAAUCAUCAAGAAGAUUAUAUAUUUUGGAGUUAAUAUUCUUUGCCUUGUGGUAUUGGAUAAGAGUCAGACAUUAUAUUCCAUUUGUUGCUCAAAUUAAUAUUCAUAUGUUCUGUACAUUGAAAAACAUUUAAUAUUUUUGUGGUUAGGUUGAGAUACUAGUUUUGUACAUUUGAAAUUUGACUCCUAACAAGUUUUGCAAAAUGCCUGCAUCUCAGUUGAAGAAUUUUAAAGGUCUUUUAUCGACUACCGUAAACUCUUGUGAGUGGAUUAUUUAAAUUCUGCAUAGAGAAGAUUCAACUUAAAGAAGCUCACAUAUGAAUAAAGAAAGAACCAGUUAAUUGAACGAUUGACUAAAUUUGGGCAGUGGCAUAAAUUUUCAAAGGAACAUGGAUACAACCUUUUUUCUUUGGGGACAUGUUUACAACCGUUCUUUAUCAUAGUGUUGGGAAUGAGGAGUGUACUUGAUUAGGCUGAUAAUGCACAUGCCGUAUAGAGAAACCUGGCUUUCCUUGUGUCCAUGCAAUUGCAGCAUGUAAGCAUCAACAUAUUUCUCAAGGAGAGAAGCGUCAUCAAUAUAGAUGCGGGAGGUGCAAACAGAUUGGUCACAGCAGCCGAUCAUGGUCAGCCGCCAUACCUCUUGAUAGCACCAUAAAUAGACGUUGGUUUGAUGUGUUGUUUUGUUGGAAAAGUCAUCUGUCGUAUUAUGUUGAUAAAAUAUCAAUAACCCUAAAUAGAAAAAACUCCAAAAGUUCAGAAAAAGUUCUCAAAUUGGCAAAAAUAUUUGGUUAUCGUAGGUUUCACCAGUAAUUACCGAAACCCCUGUGGUAAUCAUAUUUUUCCAAUUUUUUG